CCUACGGGUGGCAGCAGUAGGGAAUCUUCCACAAUGGGCGAAAGCCUGAUGGAGCAACGCCGCGUGGGUGAAGAAGGUCUUCGGAUCGUAAAACCCUGUUGUUAGAGAAGAAAGUGCGUGAGAGUAACUGUUCACGUUUCGACGGUAUCUAAGCAGGAAGCCACGGCUAACUACGUGCCAGCAGCCGCGGUAAUACGUAGGUGGCAAGCGUUAUCCGGAUUUAUUGGGGGUAAAGGGAACGCAGGCGGUCUUGUAAGUCUGAUGUGAAAGCCUUCGGCUUAACCGGAGUAGUGCAUUGGAAACUGGGCGACUUGAGUGCAGAAGAGGAGAGUGGAACUCCAUGUGUAGCGGUGAAAUGCGUAGAUAUAUGGAAGAACACCAGUGGCGAAGGCGGCUUACUGGACUGUAACUGACGUUGAGGCUCGAAAGCGUGGGGAGCAAACAGGAUUAGAUACCCGAGUAGUC
rnacentral:rRNA from 1 species